rnacentral:rRNA from 1 species
AUACCCUAUUAUUCUUAAUUCAUUUUUUGCCUGAAUAUUAUUAGUUAGUUUCUUUAAAACUCAAAGAAUUUGGCGGUUAAUUAUUUCUUUUUAGGGGAAUAUGUUCUCUAAUCGAUAACCCACGAUAGGGUUUACCUUCAUUUAAUUUGUAUACCUCUAUUGGUUCUCGGAAUGUUUUAAUAAAAUAUUUUCUUUCACUUUUCCAGGUUAAUUUUAGGUCAAGGUGCAGUUUUGUGUAGGCAAGCAUGUAUUACUAUAAAUUUUAAUAGGUUGGAUCAUCGUCCGGGUGGGGAGGUGUGAAAUAGGAUUUAAAAGUAAAUUUAAUUAAUUAAUUUAUUUGAAUUUAGCUCUAGUUAAUGUACACAUC